ACGGGAGGUAGCAGUGGGGAAUAUUGGGCAAUGGGCGCAAGCCUGACCCAGCGACGCCGCGUGAGUGAAGAAGUAUUUCGGUAUGUAAAGCUCUUUAAGCAGGGAAGAAAACGACGGUACCUGCAGAAUAAGCACCGGCUAAAUACGUGCCAGCAGCCGCGGUAAUACGUAUGGUGCAAGCGUUAUCCGGAUUUACUGGGUGUAAAGGGAGCGUAGGUGGUUUGGCAAGCCAGAAGUGAAAACCCGGGGCUCAACUCCGCGGAUUGCUUUUGGAACUGUUGGACUAGAGUGCAGGAGGGGUAAGUGGAAGUCCUAGUGUAGCGGUGAAAUGCGUAGAUAUUAGGAGGAACACCAGUGGCGAAGGCGGCUUACUGGACUGUAACUGACGUUGAGGCUCGAAAGCGGGGGGAGCAAACAGGAUUAGAUACCCUGGUA
rnacentral:rRNA from 1 species